GUGCUCUCUUCAGCAGAACAUAUACUAAAAUUGUAAUAAUACAGAGAAGAUUGCCAUGACCCCUGUACAAGCAUGACACACAAAUUUGAGAAACAUUCCAUAUUUUU
ensembl:snRNA U6 U6 spliceosomal RNA